GAUGAACGCUGGCGGCGUGCCUAAUACAUGCAAGUCGAGCGAACAGACGAGGAGCUUGCUCCUCUGACGUUAGCGGCGGACGGGUGAGUAACACGUGGAUAACCUACCUAUAAGACUGGGAUAACUUCGGGAAACCGGAGCUAAUACCGGAUAAUAUAUUGAACCGCAUGGUUCAAUAGUGAAAGACGGUUUUGAUGUCACUUAUAGAUGGAUCCGCGCCGCAUUAGCUAGUUGGUAAGGUAACGGCUUACCAAGGCGACGAUGCGUAGCCGACCUGAGAGGGUGAUCGGCCACACUAGAACUGAGACACGGUCCAGACUCCUACGGGAGGCAGCAGUAGGGAAUCUUCCGCAAUGGGCGAAAGCCUGACGGAGCAACGCCGCGUGAGUGAUGAAGGUCUUCGGAUCGUAAAACUCUGUUAUUAGGGAAGAACAAAUGUGUAAGUAACUAUGCACGUCUUGACGGUACCUAAUCAGAAAGCCACGGCUAACUACGUG
rnacentral:rRNA from 1 species